rnacentral:rRNA from 1 species
AUUGAACGCUGGCGGCAGGCGUAACACAUGCAAGUCGAACGAGUGGCGGACGGGUGAGUAAUGCUUGGGAAUCUAGCUUAUGGAGGGGGAUAACUACGGGAAACUGUAGCUAAUACCGCGUACCAUAGGAUGAGCCCAAGUGGGAUUAGGUAGUUGGUGAGGUAAAGGCCAACCAAGACGACGAUCUCUAGCUGGUCUGAGAGGCUGACCAGCCACACUGGGACUGAGACACGGCCCAGACUCCGACGGUAGGCAGCAGUGGGGAAUAUUGCUCAAUGGGGGCAACCUGACGCAGCCAUUCCGCGUGAAUGAAGAAGGCCUUCGGGUUGUAAAGUUCUUUCGGUAGCGAGGCGUUAACUACAGAAGAAGCACCGGCUAACUCCGUGCCAGCCGCCGCGGUAAUAC